UACGUAGGGUCCAAGCGUUAUCCGGAAUCACUGGGCGUAAAGCGUGCGUAGGCGGGCGUUUAAGUGCAAUGCGAAAUCCUGUGGCUCAACCAUAUGGACUGUAUUGCAUACUGGAUACCUGGAGGAAUGCAGAGGCAAGUGGAAUUACUGGUGUAGCAGUGAAAUGCGCAGAUAUCAGGAGGAACACCAAUGGCGAAGGCAGCUCGCUGGGACGUGACUGACGCUGAGACGCGAAAGCGUGGGGAGCAAACAGG
rnacentral:rRNA from 1 species